rnacentral:rRNA from 1 species
UACGUAGGCAGCAAGCGUUGUUCGGAAUUACUGGGCGUAAAGAGUGUGUAGGCGGUGCUCCAAGUCUGGUGUGAAAUCUCCCCGGCUUAACUGGGAGGGUGCAUUAGAAACUGGAAUGCUAGAGGAUGGGAGAGGUAAGCGGAAUUCCUGGUGUAGCGGUGAAAUGCGUAGAUAUCAGGAGGAACACCUGUGGUGUAGACAGCUUACUGGACCAUUCUGACGCUGAGACACGAAAGCGUGGGUAGCAAACAGG